UACAGAGGUCUCAAGCGUUGUUCGGAUUCAUUGGGCGUAAAGGGUGCGUAGGUGGCGGGGUAAGUCAGGUGUGAAAUUUCGGAGCUCAACUCUGAAACUGCAUUUGAUACUGCCUUGCUUGAGGACUGGAGAGGAGACUGGAAUUCACGGUGUAGCAGUGAAAUGCGUAGAUAUCGUGAGGAAGACCAGUGGCGAAGGCGGGUCUCUGGACAGUUCCUGACACUGAGGCACGAAGGCCAGGGGAGCAAACGGG
rnacentral:rRNA from 1 species